rnacentral:rRNA from 1 species
AUGAACGCUGGCGGCGUGCCUAAUACCUGCAAGUCGAGCGAACAGAUGAGGAGCUUGCUCCUCUGGCGUUAGCGGCGGACGGGUGAGUAACACGUGGAUAACCUACCUAUAAGACUGGGAUAACUUCGGGAAACCGGAGCUAAUACCGGAUAAUAUAUUGAACCGCAUGGUUCAAUAGUGAAAGACGGUUUUGCUGUCACUUAUAGAUGGAUCCGCGCCGCAUUAGCUAGUUGGUAAGGUAACGGCUUACCAAGGCAACGAUGCGUAGCCGACCUGAGAGGGUGAUCGGCCACACUGGAACUGAGACACGGUCCAGACUCCUACGGGAGGCAGCAGUAGGGAAUCUUCCGCAAUGGGCGAAAGCCUGACGGAGCAACGCCGCGUGAGUGAUGAAGGUCUUCGGAUCGUAAAACUCUGUUAUUAGGGAAGAACAAAUGUGUAAGUAACUAUGCACGUCUUGACGGUACCUAAUCAGAAAGCCACGGCUAACUACGUG